GUAGCCUCGAUCCCAGGCCGAGUUUUCGCUUUUAUAACGGUUAGGCGAACAACUGGGCCUGGUACUAGUUGUCUGCGCAUGCGUCAGUCGUUCGUCAGAUUCUGACGAAUGGAUAUUCUCGUUCACUUUCGUGACAUUUAUAUUCGUGUACUAUCGUGUACUAGAAGUCAGUUCCCGUUUUAUCAUUAUUGGAAUCGAUUGGAAUGGCUCUUAGCUGAAGCUUCUCUCUUCUCUGAAGCUUAUUCUGAAGACUGAACAACAAGGGAAGAGGUAUAAAGCUUUGUCAAGCUUGUUAAGGUCAGAUAUUUUUGUGUGGGCCCUAUGGCCGGCUAUGCUAUCAAGUCUUGUUCAUGUUUGGCAAGAAUGUAGGUAGACUAUAGUUUCAUCAUUAAUAUGGUGGAUCAAGUGAAGAGUGUGAGCUAGAGAACUUGGUGCUGCCAUCAUCAGCUCGUCGACAAUGACACUAUAACCGAGAAAUUUAAUAUGUAUAGAUCUACACGUAUUUAAAAUGUCUACUUCUCUGUACAGGAGCAAUGGCUAAUAUCCAACUAUCCCAACAGUGCUCCUCGUGGCUAUACUAACGGACGAGACUGGACAGUUUGAGACACAGGACUGGAGUAUGACCUGCUCAUUUGAGCGUUGCUGGGUAGCUCAGAGACAUCAAGAGAAUCUACGUUUUCUCAAGCAAUGAGUUACGAGUUGGGGCCUAGAAUCAGAGAAGUCCAGCAGCCUGCUAAAUCUUUUUGAAACGUAAUUUGAAGGCAUUCAAUCAUCCUGAAGUUGCCCUGGGUCACUGUAAUUGUGCUGCAGCACAACUGGCAACUCCCCAGGCCUUUGUGAAGCAGCUCCCUAUGUGCAUCUUUUGUGUACUCACUCUGUGCAUUUUCUGUGUACAAAUUUCUAUUAUUGAUUUAUUAAAUAUUUUUGCCGACCACAAA